UGGUGGAGUGAUUUGUCUGGUUAAUUCCGUUAACGAACGAGACCUCGACCUGCUAAAUAGUUCGCCGAACCUUUGGUUCGUGUGUGACUUCUUAGAGGGACUAUCGGUGUGUAGCCGGUGGAAGUUCGAGGCAAUAACA
rnacentral:rRNA from 1 species